rnacentral:tRNA from 1 species
AGGCGGUUAGCUCAGUUGGUUAGAGCGCCACGUUGACAUCGUGGAGGUCGUUGGUUCGAACCCAAUAUCGCCUA